rnacentral:tRNA from 1 species
UUUAAGAUAAGUUAUAUUAAAUAGACUACAAGGCUCAUAACCUUGAAGAAAUUUUUUCUUAUAAAU